CGCGUGCUCUCGCGUCCUGGGGAAGUUACUGCGCAGGUUCAGUCCUAGAUUGGAGUGCAGCAAAGAGAUGUUCAUCAUCGGGAUGUGGCAUGAAUGACACAAGCUGGCAGUCAGCUGGAAGAUAAAGCAAAUUGAUGAGGGGUCACCCCUUCCUAGGGAGAUGAGUGGGAUCACUCGAGAAUUCCUCCAAGUGGAAUAGCUGGGUUCAAGAAUAUGUGCAUUUUACAUUUGAUAAAUGUGGCCAAAUUGCCCUCCCAAAAGCGGAAUCCAUUUACACUCCCAUUAGCAGCCAGCUUAGGAGAGUUUAUUUUCCUACAUCUUUGCCAA